AACGAACGCUGGCGGCAUGCCUAACACAUGCAAGUCGAACGAGACCUUCGGGACUCGUGGCGCACGGGUGCGUAACGCGUGGGAACCUGCCCUUAGGUUCGGAAUAACUCCCCGAAAGGGGUUCUAAUCCCGGAUAAUGUCCUCGUACCAAAGAUUUAGCGCCUUUGGAUGGGCCCGCGUUGGAUUAGCUAGUUGGUAGGGUAAAAGCCUACCAAGGCGACGAUCCAUAGCUGGUCUGAGAGGAUGAUCAGCCACACUGGGACUGAGACACGGCCCAGACUCCUACGGGAGGCAGCAGUGGGGAAUAUUGGACAAUGGGCGAAAGCCUGAUACAGCAAUGCCGCGUGAGUGAUGAAGGCCUUAGGGUUGUAAAGCUCUUUUAACCGGGAUGAUAAUGACAGUACCGGGAGAAUAAGCGCCGGCUAACUCCGUG
rnacentral:rRNA from 1 species